rnacentral:lncRNA from 1 species
GGGGCGAUGCCCGAGCCGGUGCCGCCGCCCCCGCGCCGCGCAGCCCCGGCCGCCAGGCCUUAGCCCGCCCCGGCCCCCGCCAGGCCGCGUCCCCCUCCCCUCCCCUCCCCCGCGCGCCACCCGCGCCCGCCCCCGCCCGGCACCGCGGACCCACCCGGACCUCGGCGGGGAGAUGGAGGUCCUGGCGGCAGAGACCACGUCCCAGCAGGAGCGGCUGCAGGCCAUCGCAGAGAAGCGGAAGCGGCAGGCGGAGAUCGAGAACAAGCGCCGGCAGCUGGAGGACGAGCGGAGGCAGCUGCAGCACCUGAAGGUACGAGCGGGGCAGGGACCCAGGGUCAGGGAGUGCAGGCGGCUGUGAGGCGGAGGCCCCGGACUCCUGCCCAACCCUGACCCUGACCCCAAUCCCAACCUGACCCUGACCCUGCCUCCAGCCCUGACCCUGACCCCGACCCUGACCCCGACCCCGACCCCGACCCUGACCCCAACCUGACCCCGACCCUGACCCCAACCUGACCCUGACCCCGACCCUGACCCUGAUCUCAGUCCUGACUCUGACCCUGACCUGACCCCAACCUCAAUCCUGACCCUGACCUUGACUCUGACCCAGACCCU